CAGCCAUAUCACACUGAAGCACCGGUUCUUGUACGUUCACCGAAGUUAAGUAACGUCGAAUCUGGUCAGUAUUUAUCUGGGUGACCGCUUGGGAAAACAGGUGCUGAAA